rnacentral:misc_RNA from 1 species
ACGCCGAAGGUGGGGCUGAUGACUGGGGUGAAGUCGUAACAAGGUAGCCGUACCGGAAGGUGCGGCUGGAUCACCUCCUAACAGGGAGACAAUAAAUUGAUUGUGAUGUCUAAGUUUUUUAUUCUUAGGCCGCAAUCCUGUCACCUUAAGGUCGAUCGGUACCUCAGAUUUUUGAAUUAGUUUUUAUAAUUAAUUCUUUGAUUUCAGUUCCUAAACUUGUCUAGGUCACACCCAACAAAGGUUUCUCCUGGGCCAUUAGCUCAGGUGGUUAGAGCGCACCCCUGAUAAGGGUGAGGUCCCUGGUUCAAGUCCAGGAUGGCCCAUUCGUUGUUGGGGGUAUAGCUCAGUUGGUAGAGCGCCUGCUUUGCAAGCAGGAUGUCAGCGGUUCGAGUCCGCUUACCUCCACUGAAAACUAUCCUGAUAACUAAAUUUCGGAGAAAAAUUUGUAGAAGUGGCUUAGAAUUGUCUGUCUGAAAAGAACCUAGCUUCUUGUCAUCUUUUUAUAGUUGAUAACAUGCUGGGCUCGCAUGGAUUAAUUCCAUGAGAAUUCAGUAGAACCUUGAAAACUGCAUAGAUUAGAAAGAAUAAAGCAUCUCAUGGAUGCAUAAUUCUGGUUUUAAAAUUUAGCCUUAAAACUAAAUUACUAAUUCUAGAAUUCAUGUUUAAUUCUUGAGUAAAAGCCGAGCACAAUUGAUUUUGUGAUUGUAUUUAAGGUCAAGCUACAAAGGGCUCAUGG